rnacentral:sRNA from 1 species
UUUAAUGAUCCGCCCUCCUUUUUUACACAUGCAAAGUAUGUUAACAGAUUCAGAUUGGUAUGGCUUGAUUAUUAAUUCAUGAUAUAAAUAUCAACUAUUUUUAAGUGAAGAAAAAAAUUCAUAAAUUUUACAUCUAAAAUUUGGUUAGUUUCCUAUAUCUUUAUAGAGCUUUUCUUUUAUAUAAAUAUCUCAAAACAGUCUAAAUAUGACCACUGCCAUCGAGCUCUCUUACGCUCUAUGAUUCUACCCUCAGUUCUAUCAACAUUUUUUGUAUUAAAAAACUUACAUUACAAUAAACAUUUGCAAUUU